CUGGGGCUCGUUUCCGUGGGGUGCGUUUAGAUCCACCUAGUGAAUCAAGUUUGUGGUGUGCUCCCGCGUUCCGAAGGUGCUCGCACAGAUUCUUAGUAGGACCCGCGCUUUUCUCUCUCGAAUUUUUCUGGAAGUAACCUUGUGUUGGGAUCCCUCAGGGAAAUGAAGAAGCCACGUGGUUGAAGCCAAAACACCGAAAACGGCCCCCGGCCUUCCAGCCAGAGCUCUGUCUACACUGUCUACCUCUAUCCCACUUGCCCAGGCUGUCUUUUCCGAAUUUUUUGCUGUUUAAAUCAGCGGUAGCCGCAGUCAGUCAACGCCACCACCACUACAGAGAAUCAGAGACGAGCUGGGUUGGAAAUCCAUCUGGUCCGUCCCCGACCCACUUUACAGGAUCUCUGCAAAGCAUCAGUUUCGUUCAUCACACGCUUCACUAGUUGGUGAGAGGCCCUGUGGCAAGCCUAGCUCCCCUUUGAAAUGUCACCGGAAUGACCAGAGGAACCCAUCCAAAGGCCCAGAGAGAGGAUCUGGAGACUUCAUGCAAACAGCUUAACAGAGUGCUGCCAUGGAACUUAAAGACCCGAGGCUUGUCACUUCAAGACUGGCAGUGACGGCACAACAGAGGGGACUCAGCUGGUGACUCUGCCACACCAGGUAGCCCUUCUCGAAGUGGAACGUCCACCGGACCCGACCCUGCCCCCUGGGACUUACGGACUGAGCCUGGCCGGCCGGGACACAUCCCUACUACCUCCUGGAACAUCGACCCCCGUCACCAGGAGGCGCCAGACCGGGAGACCGGAAGGGCCGCCUACACGUGCGGUUUCCUCGCGGUUACCUCAGC